rnacentral:rRNA from 1 species
CCUACGGGUGGCAGCAGUGAGGAAUAUUGGUCAAUGGACGAGAGUCUGAACCAGCCAAGUAGCGUGAAGGAUGACAGCCCUAUGGGUUGUAAACUUCUUUUAUAUGGGAAUAAAAUGUUCCACGUGUGGGAUUUUGUAUGUACCAUAUGAAUAAGGAUCGGCUAACUCCGUGCCAGCAGCCGCGGUAAUACGGAGGAUCCGAGCGUUAUCCGGAUUUAUUGGGUUUAAAGGGAGCGUAGGUGGAUUGUUAAGUCAGUUGUGAAAGUUUGCGGCUCAACCGUAAAAUUGCAGUUGAAACUGGCAGUCUUGAGUACAGUAGAGGUGAGCGGAAUUCGUGGUGUAGCGGUGAAAUGCUUAGAUAUCGCGAAGAACUCCGAUUGCGAAGGCAGUUCACUGGACUGCAACUGACACUGAGGCUCGAAAGUGUGGGUAUCAAACAGGAUUAGAUACCCCGGUAGUC